CAGGACGUAUUCUGCCAGACAGGUAUUGCUGUCUGCAAAGGAGAAUAGCCCCUAAGGAGAUCUGGCUGCACCAAGAGACAUGACAGCACAUGGCAGCACCCGAAGCAUGUGAACCGCACGCCUCUGAGCCCUGGCACCACCAUAACAUGGACAUAGAGGUACACGUGGAAGAAGUUCCUCUUCUACUGUCUGCAAAAUGGCAGGAUACGGGCUGGCUGCUCUACCCAGGUUCAGCUGCCAGUGAGGAAACCUCGGCCGUGACCAUGCUUGCUGGGGACAGAGCAGAGAUUUCCCUCUCCGUAUCACCUCCCCGGCAGCAGAGCAGGGA